GAUCCCAUAGAUUCUGCCUUCACACGGGGCCUUGGAGGCCCAGACCAAACGAACGACGUCUGGUCAUCUUCCUAACUCAUCACUUGCUGCCCUCUUUGCAGAAAGAAAGCUUCUUUUCACAAAUAUUUCAGUUGCUGCUGUCCCUGUCAGAAAUUCACUUGUAAAAACCCAUGGUUUCUGUAGGUCGACAUGCUUUAGUUUUGAGAAAACAUAAAGGCUGUGAUUUGAGGGACCAACCUACUGCUCGGGAGAAUCAAACGAAUAAUCAGGGAGUAAGGAAAAGAACUAUGGGUCGAAAGUCGUCGAAAAAGCAUGCUGGAGUUAAUGUUGACCAUAAUGUUGAAAGUGCAUCUGGAGGGAAUGCCGAUGACAAUAUUAGACCCCGCAAGGACAAAACGACAACCCCUGUUCCACAGACAUCAUUUCUCAGACAGCAGAUUGAUCCCGAGACUGCAAAAUACUUUGCGGAGAUUGCUAACGUCAUAGAAGGUACAGAAAUUGACCCAGAGGAGCGGUCUGUCAUCUGUGGAAAUGCAUUGGAAGAAACCAGAGGGAAAGAAGCAGAACUCGCGACUGAUUAUAUAAUAAGCCAUACUUUGCAAACUCUACUUGAAGGCUGUUCUUUGGAUCACCUUUGUAGUUUCCUUCAGAGCUGUGCAAAGAAUUUCUCUCAUAUUGCAGCUGAUAGAUCAGGUUCUCAUGUGGUUGAAACAGCUUUAAAAUCUCUAUCGUUUCACCUUCAGGAUAAUGAGAACCAUUCUCUGAUUGAACAGGCUUUGACUAAAAUCUGUAAGGCAAUUGUUGUCAAUCCCGUUGAUAUAAUGUGCAACUGCCAUGGAUCUCACGUGCUUCGGAGUCUUCUUUGCCUAUUUAAAGGGGUGCCUUUAGAAGAUUUCCAUUCCACAAAGUCAUCAGUUGGCUUGGCUGAACGCUUGAAUCUCAAGGCGCCUCAUGCAAAAGACCAUGGCCCACCGAAGUCUCAGCAAAUAUUUCCUAAUUUGCUUAAAAUUUUUGUGUCAGAGUUGUUAAAUGCUGCCAGCAAAGACAUUUCGACACUUCAAGUUAAUCAAUUCAGCAGUUUAGUUCUGCAGACUGCUUUGAAAGUAUUGGCUGGAAAUGAACAGGAAUUGUUGUACUUAAUUCGAGUUCUUCUUGGGAUCAGCACUGAAAGCGCCAAUGCUGGAAACUUGUUAGAAGGAAAAACCAUAAGAAACAUUUUAAGGCUAGUGGAAGAAACUGCAUACAGUCACUUAAUGGAGGCCAUCCUGGAAUUUGCUCCUGAAACAUUGUACAAUGAAUUGUUAAUGGAAGUUUUCAGGAAGUCAUUGUUUCGGAUGUCAACUCAUCACUGUGCCAACUUCGUCGUGCAGGCUUUAGCAUCUCACGCCAAAAGUCCGGAUCAUAUGGGCUUGAUCUGGGAGGAGCUUGGGACAAAGUUUCACGAUCUUUUUGAAAUGGGAAAGACUGGAGUUGUUGCUUCUGUCCUUGCUGCAACUCAAAGACUCCACAGCCAUGAACAUGAGUGUUGUCAGGCUAUUGCUGCCGCUGUAUGCACAGGAGAUGAGUUUCCCAAGUGUAUCGUCCCCCGAAUAUUAUUUCUUGAAAAUUUCUUUUGCUCAAGAGACAAAUCUAACUGGAAUUGGCCACAUGGAACAAAGAUCCAUGUAGUUGGAUCUUUGAUUCUGCAGUCGAUAUUUAGACUUCCCAGUGAACUCAUACAGAUCUAUGUUACUAGUAUCACAUCUUUGGAAGAGCAUCAAGUUCUUGAGGCAUCGAAAGAUUCUAGUGGUUCACGGGUCAUUGAAUCUUUUCUCAACUCAAAUAUAUCGGCAAAGCAAAAGAGGAAGUUAGUUGCCAAGCUUCGAGGACAUUUUGGUGAGCUCUCAGUGCACCCAUUUGGUUCAUUUACAGUUGAAAAGUGCUUCACUGCUAGUAACUUGAAUCUGAGAGAGACAAUAGUGUCGGAAAUGUUACCUCUCCAAGCAGAGCUAUCCAAGACUAAGCAGGGACCUUAUCUACUGAGGAAACUCGAUAUUGAUGGAUUUGCAAGGCAACCUGAGCAGUGGAAGUCAAGACAAGCUUCACAACAAUCUGCUCUCAAAGAAUUUUAUGCUACAUUUGGACCAACGGAAACCAAAUCAAAUGAGUCUGUCAGAAAGCCAUUUAAAAAGGAGAGCUUUCUUGCUGAUACUGUUUCCAAAUCAAAGCCAGGAAAGUUAAAAGACAUUAGAAAAGAGAUUGAGACGACUUUGGCUUCUGCCAAAACUUCCAAUACCCCCUUUUUGGCUCAUCAGGGUUCAAAAAAAAUGAAAAGAUCGAAAGACGAGAAGAAAAGGCAUAGGAAAGAUGGAGAUUCAGAAUCUCAAAGAAAGAAGAUGAAAGUUUAACUGAAUUGCUUUGAAGGCGCUGUUCUUUGCUGAGUUUUAGUCAUCCUACGGAGGCUUGAACCUGAUACAAGAAUGUGAUAUCUGAGAAAUCUGCUUAUGGAGACCGUUGAGUGUUUGUGAUGUUGAAGUUUUAGCAGUGGGAUACUCUUUACUGAUGAGGAAGCGAGCUGCAUGUGCGGCAUUGGACUCUGAGCUAAGAAUCAAGAGAAGUGCUAGAACAAAAGCAGCUAGUAUUCUUGAAUGGCUCUUCAUACUCAUGCUGUAAAUUAAGUUGAAGGAUGUUAAUGGUGUACUUUCUGCUGCAGGGUGAGUGAAAUAUGAGGUGAUCAAGAUAGUAAGUAAUAGGUUAUGGUGAUUUGUUAGCUUUGAAGCUGAGGUGAUGAGAUUUAUAUAUGAUGUUUGAAUGUGUUGUGAAGGAUCCAAUGCUAGUGGGAUCAUGUGAUGUUCCUUUGACUGUUCUGUGUUGGAACUCUGAUUUCCAGAUAAGUUGUUAGAAAGUUUCAGAGUGAUCAUGUGACCUGGCACGUGAUAAUAUUUAUUUACUGUGGAAGCCUGAGGAGGUGGUUAUUAUAAUAGUCUUUUAACUUUUGAUAUUGGAA